AAAACGCAAAAGAAGUUCAUAAUAAAACAACCAAUAGGAGUUAUACAACUCGACUUAGCGAUCCGUGACUCAUGUCUCAGAUGUCAUCUUAGCCGUUUAUUUAAAUUGAGAAAACACACCUCAACACUUCAUAAACCGUCCGAUCGUAACAGAGAAAGCACACGGAUAGUGAAUCGUAUCCGUUCGAUCAUUGACCAAUCUGCUAUAUAUAUACACCUUCACAAGUUGACAAUUCAAACUUUAGAUUCUAUAUCCCGACAUUCAGCGAACGAGUUCUUGAAGAGAAGAAGAAAGCAAAAGUCUCAAGGUUAG